rnacentral:rRNA from 1 species
UACGUAGGUGGCGAGCGUUAUCCGGAAUUAUUGGGCGUAAAGAGCGCGCAGGUGGUUGAUUAAGUCUGAUGUGAAAGCCCACGGCUUAACCGUGGAGGGCCAUUGGAAACUGGUCAACUUGAGUGCAGGAGAGGAGAGUGGAAUUCCUAGUGUAGCGGUGAAAUGCGUAGAUAUUAGGAGGAACGCCAGUUGCGAAGGCGGCUCUCUGGACUGUAACUGACGCUGAGGCACGAAAGCGUGGGGAGCAAACAGGAUUAGAUA